rnacentral:rRNA from 1 species
GGACUACCGGGGUUUCUAAUCCUGUUUGAUCCCCACGCUUUCGUGCCUCAGUGUCAAUGAUAGUGUAGCGAGCUGCCUUCGCAAUGGGUGUUCUAUGUCAUAUCUAAGCAUUUCACCGCUACAUGACAUAUUCCGCUCACCUCCACUAUAUUCAAGAUAGAUAGUAUCAACGGCAGUUUCCGAGUUAAGCUCAGAGAUUUCACCACUGACUUACCUACCCACCUACGCACCCUUUAAACCCAGUGAAUCCGGAUAACGCUUGCACCCUCCGUAUUACCGCGGCGGCUGGCAC